rnacentral:ncRNA from 1 species
AUAAUGAUACUUCCGUAAUUCGCGGCCCGGUCAUAAAGAAGACGGGGGGGCCGAGAGGCCAAUGG